GAUUUCUGGCCUGAAACAUUUUGCCGGCCGCGGUUUCGCGUGUUAGUGCUUUGUGUUCUGGCCAUCCUUCCAAUCGCUAUUCAGCUUUCUUCAUUGAUUGUUGAGUGGUAUUGGAUCUUUUACUUUGAAAAAAUUAGAGUGUUUCAAGCAGGCUUUAUGCUAUGAAUACAUUAGCAUGGAAUAAUAAUUUAGGACUUCGGUUCUAUUUUGUUGGUUUCUAGGACUGAAGUAAUGAUUGAUAGGGAUAGUUGGGGGUGCUAGUAUUCAGCGGCCAGAGGUGAAAUUCUCGGAUUCGCUGAAGACUAACUUAUGCGAAAGCAUU
rnacentral:rRNA from 1 species